rnacentral:rRNA from 1 species
GACGAACGCUGGCGGCGUGCCUAAUACAUGCAAGUCGAACGCAGUGGGGACGGGUGAUUAACACGUGGGUAACCUCCCAUCAGAGGGGAUAACACUUGGAAACAGGUGCUAAACCGCUACUGAUGGAUGGACCCGCGGUGGAUUAGCUAGAUGGUGGGGUAACGGCUCACCAAGGCCACGAUGCAUACCCGACCUGAGAGGGUGAUCGGCCACACUGGGACUGAGACACGGCCCAGACUCCGACGGGAGGCAGCAGUGGGGAAUCUUCGACAAUGGGCGAAAGUCUGAUCCAGCAACGCCGCGUGAGUGAAGAAGGUCUUCGGAUCGUAAAACUCUUUUGUUAGAGAAGCGGUAUCUACCCAGAAAGCCACGGCUAACUACGUGCCAGCAGCCGCGGUAAUUC